rnacentral:rRNA from 1 species
ACGGAAUAGAUACCCGGGUAGUCCACGCCCUAAACGAUGUCUACUAGUUGUCGGGGAUUCAUUUCCUUGGUAAACGCAGCUAAACGCGUGAAAGUAGACCGCCUGGGGAGUACGGCCGCAAGGUUAAAACUCAAAGGAAUUGACGGGGACCCGCACAAGCGGUGGAUGAUGUGGAUUAAUUCGAUGCAACGCGAAAAAACCUUACCUACGCUUGACAUGCCAGGAACUUUCCAGAGAUGGAUUGGUGCCCGAAAGGGAACCUGGACACAGGUGCUGCAUGGCUGUCGUCAGCUCGUGUCGUGAGAUGUUGGGUUAAGUCCCGCAACGAGCGCAACCCUUAUCCUUAGUUGCUACGCAAGGGCACUCUAGGGAGACUGCCGGUGACAAACCGGAGGAAGGUGGGGAUGACGUCAAGUCCUCAUGGCCCUUAUGUGUAGGGCUUCACACGUCAUACAAUGGUCGGUACAGAGGGUCGCCAACCCGCG